AGUACUUAAACAGCUGCAGACUGAAUGAUGUAGUCUUUAUCUUCUUCACUCGAGAGUUUCAGAGUCUUAACAUUUUCUGGUGUGGUAGCUUUAAACCAUUUGUCAGUCAUGUAGCCACCACUCCACGCUGUCCUGUAUUUAAAUUGAAACAAUUUCAAUGUUUUUAGCUCACGCUGCACGUAUACCGGUCUGUAGACAUUUAACCAUUUCUGUGGUCUCAAUGGUUGAUUACUCAGGGUACCACUUUACACACCGGCAGCAACCCGGCAUGUUUUGGUCCAAUAUGUUAAUUCUUCUGGGAGUCCUUUGGAGGGCACUCGCUUUGGAGGGCAGUUCCAUCACGUUGCCAUAAUGUCUGUGCUGACGUGGGCGUGGUUACUGACUUGGCAAAAGUUUAUAUGAAAAAUUAUUCUCAUUUAGAAGGCUAAAUUCACAUUGCUAUUUUUUCACAAAUUGUUUCAUAUUUAACCAUACAAGUUUUACAACAUUUAAGAUAUUGAAAUAUGUCUGAUUAUGUACCAUGGAAAAAUUAAAACAAAUUGCAAAUAAAAAAUAUAUAUAAAAUGCAAAUAAAAAAUAUAUAUAAAAUGUAAAAAAAAAUGUAAAAGUGGGUGGUAACUCAGACUUGACUACUUUCAGAGUUACAGUUAUCUUGUUAUACCAUCUGUAAUGACAUCACAAAAUGCAAAAUUAUGUGACAUGAUUAUUGUUUCCAUCUCCACCAACCAUUUUCCACAUUCUUUAUGUUAGAAAUAUUGUUUCAAUGUCCAAUCUUUUGAUGUUAAAGUUUUGGCCGAGUCUCUCUCUACACACAACAGAUUUUUGACCUCUCCAUACUGCAGUGCAGGAGAGAGAAAGUUUACGACCAGUCAUUAUGAGAGUCAUGACACAGUAUCCUAACAAACAUGAAAAUAUGCAUACUGUAUGACACAGAUACGUUUAAGAAAAAAUACAUCUUCUUCCUAAUACUUUAAAUGUUAGGGAUGGACCUCAUUGGACCCUUCACGAAAUCCAGAAAUGGCAACAGCUAGUGUCUGAUGGCGACCGAUCACUUUACCAAUACCCAUUAACUUCUUGCGUCGAGCAAUCCCGUAUCUGGGAGCGUAAUCAUAGCCUCAAGCUCAUUACCAUAACGCAACAUUAACUAUUCAUGAAAAUCGCAAAUGAAAUGAAAUAAAUAUAUUGGCUCACAAGCUUAGCCUUUUGUUAACAACACUGUCAUCUCAGAUUUUCAAAAUAUGCUUUUCAACCAUAGCUACACAAGCAUUUGUGUAAGAGUAUUGAUAGCUAGCAUAGCAUUAAGCCUAGCAUUCAGCAGGCAACAUUUUCACAAAAACAAAAGCAUUCAAAUAAAAUAAUUUACCUUUGAAGAACUUCGGAUGUUUUCAAUGAGGAGACUCUCAGUUAGAUAGCAAAUGUUCAGUUUUUCCAAAAAGAUUAUUUGUGUAGGAGAAAUCGCUCCGUUUUGUUCAUCACAUUUGGCUAAGAAAAAAACCCGAAAAUUCAGUCAUUACAACGCCAAACUUUUUUCCAAAUUAACUCCAUAAUAUCGACAGAAACAUGGCAAACGUUGUUUAGAAUCAAUCCUCAAGGUGUUUUUCACAUAUCUAUUUGAUGAUAAAUCAUUCGUGGCAGUUGGGUUUCUCCUCUGAAGCAAAUGGUAAAAUACACGCAGCUGGAGAUUACGCAAUAAUUUCGACGGAGGACACCAAGCGGGCACCUGGUAAAUGUAGUUUCUUAUGGUCAAUCUUCCAAUGAUAUGCCUACAAAUACGUCACAAUGCUGCAGACACCUUGGGGAAAUGACAGAAAGUGUAGGCUCAUUCCUGGCGCAUUCACAGCCAUAUAAGGAGACAUUGGAACACAGCGCCUUCAAAAUCUGGGACAUUUCCUGUUUGAAAUUUAAUCUUGGUUUCGCCUGUAGCAUCAGUUCUGUGGCACUCACAGAUAAUAUAUUUGCCAUUUUGGAAACGUCAGUGUGUUUUCUUUCCAAAGCUGUCAAUUAUAUGCAUAGUCGAGCAUCUUUUCAUGACAAAAUAUCUUGUUUAAAACGGGAACGUUUUUUUAUCCAAAAAUUUAAAGAGCGCCCCCUAUAUCGAAGAAGUUAAAGCCAGAGAACAUGCUUAACUCUAAAUUCGCUUCAGUAACCCAUUUUUUUUUUAUGUAACUAGGCAAGUCAGUUUUUUCAAUGACAGCCUUGGAACAGUGGGUUAACUGCCUUGUUCAGGGAGAGAACAAAAGUUUUUUUUACCUUGGGAAUUUGAACUUGCAACCUUUGGGUGACUAGUCCAAUGCUUUAACCACUAGGCUAUCUGUCCAUUUUAAAUCCAUCCAUUAAAAAGAGUGCUUGGAACCAAACAUUUAUUUUCAUUUUGUUUGAUACCCAUCAAGGACGAGACUGGCGAGGUCACCUCCAAUGUGAUGGACAUCUUCAACACCCACUUCGUUUCAUUUUUUAUUUGCAAUUUUUCAUUUUUCCAUGGUAUAUAAUCAGACAUAUUUCAAUAUCUUACAUUGUCAAUAGACAUCACUUUCCUUCCCCCUGCUCCAUACACAUGGAUUUUGUACUGUAGAUAUGUGAUAGUAGGGGCCUGAGGGCACACAGUGUGUUGUGAAAUCUGUGGAUGUCUUUUAAUGUUCUUAAAAUUGCUUAAACAUCCUUCAUUUUGCUGUACCCAAGGAAGAGUAGCUGCUGUCUUGGUAGCAGCUAAUGGGGAUCCAUAAUAAAUACAAAUUGUCCUCUGUUAAUUUAUUUUCUGGCCCUCCAAGUGAUGUGUUAGAAAUAUAUUUGUAAUAUGAAAUAUAAUAGCAUAUAUUCCUGUUAUCAAUCAAGGUUAGCGUGAACAUCGACAAGGCGCGGGAUUAAGAGAAGGAGAGCUACCGGAGGAAAAUCAAGAAGGGGACCAAGUGCUUCAACAUCCGGGCAAAUUGCUGGCUUGGAAGAACAACAAAAGGAAGGCAAGACUUGGGAAACAUCGAUGCGCUUUCGCUCCUAGCUGGGGUCACCAUUCAAUAAGGGUUACCUCGGUGGAAGCCAACAAUCUUCUCCAGUUGGAGCAUUGAAACGUUUGACCACUGAAAGCACUGACGUCCUACACUUCGGUGGAGCACAAUAGACAAAGUGUGUUAAAUUUGGUUGACAUUUGAGGAAGGAAGAAAUGGUAUAUAUGCUGAGCUUCUAAAAAUAUACCUCUUCAGUUUACCUCUCCUAAUGACUUUAGGACCAUCGACUGUCCGAGCCCCCAAGGAGGUAUCCCAUCCUCCAGAGCUAGUGAGUUCAGAUCAGUCUGAUUCUCUGUGCUCUGAGUUAGAGGGGGACCAGCUUGAGGUAGGCUAUACCUUCCAAAACGGUUGAAAAGUACAUACAGAACAUUCAGAAAGUAUUCCGGUCCCUUUCCUUUUUCUACAUUUUGUUAUAUUACAGCCUUAUUCUAAAAUGGAUUGAAUAAAAACAUUUCCUCAUCAAUCUACACACAAUAACCUUUAAUGAUUUGCAAAUUUACAAAAAAAAUUCAAAAAGAAAUACCUUAAUUACAUAAGUACUCAGACUCUUUGCUAUGAAACUCGAAAUUGAGCUCAGGUUCAUCAUGUUUCCAUUGAUCAUCCUUGAGAUAUUUCUACUACUUGAUUCCACCUGUGCUAAAUUCAAUUGAUAGGGCAUGAUUUGGAAGGGCAAACAGCUGUCUAUAUAAAGUUCCACCGCUGACAGUUGACAGAGUAAAAGCCAAGCCAUGAGUUCCAAAGAAUUGACCGUAGUGCUCUGAAACAGAUUUGGGGAACGGUACCAAAACAUUUCUACAACAUGGAAGGUCCCCAGGAACAUAGUGGCCUCAAUCAUUCUAAAAUGGAAGAAGUUUGGAACCACCAAGACUCUUCUUAGAGCUGGCCGCCUGGCCAAACUGAGCAAUCGGGGGAGAAGGGCCUUGGUCAGGGAGGUGACCAAGAACCCGAUGGUCACUCUGACAGAGCUCCAGAGUUCCUCUGUGGAGAUGGGAGAACCUUCCAGAAGGACAACCAUCUCUGCAGCUCUCCUCCAAUCAGGACUUUAUGGCAGAGUGGCCAGACAAAAGCCCCUCCUCAGUAAAAUGCACAUAACAGCCCGCUUGGAGUUUGCCAAAGGGCACCUAGAGGACUCACACCAUGAGAAACAAGAUCCAAAUCUUUGGCCUGAAUGUCAAGCGUCACAUCUGGAGGAUACCUGACACCAUCCUUAUGGUGAAGCAUGGUGGUGGCAGCAUCAUGCUGUGGGGGAUGUUUUUCAGUGGCAGGGACUGGGAGACUAGGAUCGAGGGAAAGAUGAACAAAGCAAAGUACAGAGAUCCUUGAUGAACAAAAACCUGCUCCAGAGCACUCAGCACCUCAGACUUGGGCGAAGGUUCACCUUCCAACAGGACAACGACCCUAAGCACACAGCCAAGACAAAUCAGGAGUGGCAUCAGGACAAAUUAUCUGAAUGUCCUUGAGUGGCCCAGCCAGAGCCCGGACUUGAACCUGAUUGAUCAUCUCUGGAGAGACAUGAAAAUAGCUGUGCAGCAACGCUCCCCAUCCAAUCUGGCAGAGAUUGAGAGGAUCUGCAGAGAAAAAUGGGAGAAACUCCCCAAAUACAGGUGUACAAAGCUUGUAGCGUCAUACUCAAGAACACUCGAGCCUGUAUCGCUGCCGAAGGUCCUGCAACAAAGGGUCUGAAUACUUAUGUGAAUAAGAUAUUUCAGUUUUUUGCUUUGUCAUUAUGGCGUAUUGUGUGUAGAUUGAUAAGGGGAACAACGAUUUAAUCCAUUUUAGAAUAAGGCUGUAACAUAAAAAGAUGUGGAAAAGGUCAAGGGACCGAAAUACUUUCUGAAUGCUCUGUAUCUCCCAUUUAGAGCACUGCACUAAUCAAUUGCAUUUUCUCACAGUAAAGUUGAACGUGUAUUUGCUUGUCUAUCUACUACCCUAUUCCCUUUUACUAAGAAAGUUUUCUAGCUCUGUCAUGAACUUAAUAUGUGAGAUACACACAUUAUCUAAAAACAUUGUCAUUGCAAACACUCAGAACAAUGAGAGCAGCAGUGCCUGGACUUUGCAGUCUCCCUCUUCAAGCCCCCCUUCUGAGACUGGCUGCCUUUUGAGAACAAGUGACAGGCAGAACCUCCUCUAUAUUCCACACACCAGAAUUCAGUAUUUUAGUCUAUGAUUGCCAUGUGAGUGUACAUAAAAUCUAUGAAAAUAAAUUAAUGACAAAACUGUACAAAAAAAAAGUUUAGAUAUUAAAAUCUUAAAUAUUGCCAGAUUGGUUUUCACAGCCGUUUCACAAGGUGUUCAUUAUUAUAAAUUGUAAAGUCUCCCUUGACGGUAUUUAUUUACUUGACAUUAUUCACUGUUGUAUAAUGAUGGCACCGACAGACAUGGAAGCUCUGCUUCUAGCUCCUACAUACAAGCGUUUUGCCAAACACCCGCAAUAACAUCUGCUAAAUGUGUGUAUGUGACCAUUCAUAUUUGCUUUGUAUCCUAGGACCUACAAUAGAUACAUAUAUAUUCAACCACAAGGGUGUACUAAUGAGAUAUGUGAGACAGGAAAAAAAUGAAUCAUCAUUGAGGAC
ensembl:lncRNA